GCUCGGGUGGUGGAAUUGGUAGACACGCAAGCCUCAGGAGCUUGUUUCCGCAAGGAAGUGGGGGUUCGAGUCCCCCCCCGAGCA
rnacentral:tRNA from 1 species